AUUCAUUACCCUUUUCUAUUCCCCGUGCAGACAAAUCAAUCCUCCGUGUGCACCUUCACACAAAGCAGGCCCUAUUGACUUUCAUGACUGAAUCUUUCAUCUUUCCCCUGUUUGUUUGUUUGCCCGUCUGUGAGCAAGGUCUUUAUAUUGUGUAACAGAAAUACCUUGUGGAAUAGAGGUGAAACUUACAUGGGCUUUUGAAUCAGGGGCAUUUCACACAAACACUCCAUUAUCUUAUUUUUUAAAGGUGACGUUAGCAUUACUGAUUAUCUUAUUUAUUUAUUUAAAGGUGACGUUAGCAUUACUGAUUAUCUUAUUUAUUUAAAGGUGACGGUAGCAUUACUGAUUAUCUUAUUUAUUUAAAGGUGACGUUAGCAUUACUGAUUAUCUUAUUUAUUUAAAGGUGACGGUAGCAUUACUGAUUAUCUUAUUUAUUUAAAGGUGACGGUAGCAUUACUGAUUAUCUUAUUUAUUUAAAGGUGACGUUAGCAUUACUGAUGAUCUUAUUUAUUUAUUUAAAGGUGACGGUAGCAUUACUGAUUAUCUUAUUUAUUUAUUUAAAGGUGACGUUAGCAUUACUGAUUAUCUUAUUUAUUUUUUAAAGGUGACGUUAGCAUUACUGAUUAUCUUUUUUUUUUUUUUUAAAGGUGACGUUAGCAUUACUGAUUAUCUUAUUUAUUUAUUUAAAGGUGACGUUAGCAUUACUGAUUAUCUUUUUUUUUUUUUAAAGGUGACGUUAGCAUUACUGAUUAUCUUAUUUUUUUUUAAAGGUGACUGUAGCAUUACUGAUUAUCUUUUUUUUUUUUUUAAGGUGACGUUAGCAUUACUGAUUAUCUUAUUUAUUUAUUUAAAGGUGACGUUAGCAUUACUGAUUAUCUUAUUUAUUUAUUUAAAGGUGACGGUAGCAUUACUGAUUAUCUUAUUUAUUUAUUUAAAGGUGACGUUAGCAUUACUGAUUAUCUUAUUUAUUUAUUUAAAGGUGACGUUAGCAUUACUGAUUAUCUUAUUUUUUAAAAGGUGACGUUAGCAUUACUGAUUAUCUUAUUUAUUUAUUUAUUUAAAGGUGACGUUAGCAUUACUGAUUAUCUUAUUUAUUUAUUUAAAGGUGACGGUAGCAUUACUGAUUAUCUUAUUUAUUUAUUUAAAGGUGACGUUAGCAUUACUGAUUAUCUUAUUUAUUUAUUUAAAGGUGACGUUAGCAUUACUGAUUAUCUUUUUUUUUUUUUUUAAAGGUGACGUUAGCAUUACUGAUUAUCUUAUUUAUUUAUUUAAAGGUGACGUUAGCAUUACUGAUUAUCUUAUUUAUUUAUUUAUUUAAAGGUGACGUUAGCAUUACUGAUUAUCUUAUUUAUUUAUUUAUUUAAAGGUGACGUUAGCAUUACUGAUUAUCUUAUUUAUUUAAAGGUGACGUUAGCAUUACUGAUUAUCUUAUUUAUUUAUUAUUUUAAAGGUGACGUUAGCAUUACUGAUUAUCUUAUUUUUUUUAAAGGUGACGUUAGCAUUACUGAUUAUCUUAUUUAUUUAUUUAAAGGUGACGUUAGCAUUACUGAUUAUCUUAUUUAUUUAUUAUUUUAAAGGUGACGUUAGCAUUACUGAUUAUCUUAUUUUUUUUAAAGGUGACGUUAGCAUUACUGAUUAUCUUAUUUAUUUAUUUAAAGGUGACGUUAGCAUCACUGACGUCACCGUUGCUCCCGGGCCGAUAGUCUGAAAACAUUGUGCCGUCUGACGUUAAGACUAUAUAUUGACAAGCCCUGUAAUCCAUUUGGAAAUAUAAUGAAAUUGAACCCACACAUGUACUGACAUGCUGAUUAACUUCUUGUCUGGUCACAGUAUUCAUUGAAUGAGGCAUAUCUACACUGAACGAGGCAUAUAUCUACACUGAACGAGGCAUAUAUCUGCACUGUGAAUGAGGCAUAUAUCUACACUGUGAAUGAGGCAUAUAUCUGCACUGUGAACGAGGCAUAUAUCUGCACUGUGUGUGUGAAAGGAUAUUGAGAUACAUGAUCUAAAUCACACAAGUUCAUCUCGCUGUGCA
ensembl:lncRNA